AUGGCUUCUCGCUAUCACUUCUGGAUGGACCUGCGGUGCAUUAGCUUGUUGGUGGGGUAACGGCCUACCAAGGCGAUGAUGCAUAGCCGAGUUGAGAGACUGAUCGGCCACAAUGGGACUGAGACACGGCCCAUACUCCUACGGGAGGCAGCAGUAGGGAAUCUUCCACAAUGGGCGCAAGCCUGAUGGAGCAACACCGCGUGAGUGAAGAAGGGUUUCGGCUCGUAAAGCUCUGUUGUUAAAGAAGAACACGUAUGAGAGUAACUGUUCAUACGUUGACGGUAUUUAACCAGAAAGUCACGGCUAACUACGUGCCAGCAGCCGCGGUAAUACGUAGGUGGCAAGCGUUAUCCGGAUUUAUUGGGCGUAAAGAGAGUGCAGGCGGUUUUCUAAGUCUGAUGUGAAAGCCUUCGGCUUAACCGGAGAAGUGCAUCGGAAACUGGAUAACUUGAGUGCAGAAGAGGGUAGUGGAACUCCAUGUGUAGCGGUGGAAUGCGUAGAUAUAUGGAAGAACACCAGUGGCGAAGGCGGCUACCUGGUCUGCAACUGACGCUGAGACUCGAAAGCAUGGGUAGCGAACAGGAUUAGAUACCCUGGUAGUCCAUGCCGUAAACGAUGAGUGCUAGGUGUUGGAGGGUUUCCGCCCUUCAGUGCCGGAGCU
rnacentral:rRNA from 1 species